AUGGUCGUACACACCAACGAAAAUGGUUUGUUGGAUCUCGAUCAUAGUGAUACACAUAUUCAUAAUAUCGAAGCCAAAAGAUGCAAAGUUAAUAAUGAUAGUGCAACUUAUUUGUGGCACUGCCGUUUAGGUCAUAUUGGUGUAAAGCGCAUGAAGAAACUCCAUACUGAUGGGAUUUUGGAAUCACUUGAUUAUGAAUCACUUGAUGCUUGCGAACCAUGCCUCAUGGGCAAGAUGACUAAAACGCCGUUCUCCGGAACUAUGGAGAGAGCAACGGAUUUGUUGGAAAUCAUACAUACAGAUGUAUGUGGUCCGAUGAAUAUUGAGGCUUGUAGCAGGUAUCAUUAUUUUCUGACCUUCACAGAUGAUUUGAGCAGAUAUGGGUAUAUCUACUUGAUGAAACAUAAGUCUGAAGCAUUUGAAAAGUUCAAAGAAUUUCAGAGUGAAGUAGAAAAUCAUCGUGACGAGAAAAUAAGGUUUCUAUGA
rnacentral:rRNA from 1 species